ACGAUAUCUGCAUUCCACUGGAGUGAUCGGGCAGAGGCUCAAGGGGAGGCCAUGAAGGCAGUGCUGAUCCCAAUUCGAGAGACUAUGACCCCAGAAUCGGAUGUCUCCAUUGCACACAUCCUGGCUGCCCGAGCUGAUCUGUCUCGUCUUGUUCCAGCCACAAGCAAGGCUGCCCGCCGAGGGACCAUCUGUGCCAUCAACAAGGUGCUUAUGGGCAAUGUGCCAGACCGAGGGGGACGUCCAAAUGAGUUGGAGGCUCCUAUGCCCAGCUGGCAGAGCAGAAGAGAGAAUGGAGGCGGGUGGAAGGCAGGCCGCCACUGCUGGGGCGAUAAGAAGAAGAAGAAGAAGAAGAAAUAAAGGGGGACUGGGUCCUCUAUGAGAUGCUGAUACCAUUGGUAAUCUCUGGGAAGUCAAUUUGAGGGUGUUUCUUGGCACCUGGCACCCAGGCGCCACAUCUCCUAUUCCUGAGGCCCUAAUUUUCCCCCCCUCUCCCCCACAUCCACCAUUUAACAUCAAGGACCAUGUUCUCUGGAAAAUAAAUUUAAUUUAUGACA